AGGCACAUGAGCAUAAACUUACUCUUAAUUGAAGCUUAUCAGUGAUGGUGUAUGACAGUUCAUAUACUCUGGCAUUGAUUUAAUUUUAGUGUUAAUGUUUCUACCACCUCUUUCAAGCUUUUGAUUCAGUUCAAUUGAAAAUAGUUCUGAAAUUGCAAAACGGACCAUUUAGACGCUGGUACUAUUUGUAAGUAUUUAAUUGUACAUUCUAACACUGUCAAAUCAAUAAAAUAUAAAAAUAAAUUCCAUGAUGAGACUGAUAAAAACUUCAAUUGCUAUUUACAAUUCCAGUUUUAAAGUGUAGGUGUUAUUCCAAACAACCAGAUCAUUCUCAAUUUACUUAGAACAAGUUAGUGUUGUAAGUUAUAUGCAUAAUUUUACACAUAGACAUAUGAAAACUAUAUACUUUGUAAUUUGCAACUCCACAUAAUAUUUCAGUCUUUAAAGGUUUAUAAUUGAUAAAAAAUGGUUGAGAACCACUAACCUGAUCAGAACUCCUUUUUGACAGAUGGUGUAAGCAAGGUUGGAAGACAAAGAUAAUGUGAAAUGUCAGUGAGUUGGUGCCUCUGGCCUUCUCCAAGUCUUUAAUAUGCAAAAUUAAUUGUGAAUUUCCACCAACGAUGCCAUUUUAUUGGCUUAGUUUGGGAUCCUCCAGAAGCUGACCAUGAGAAGAGGAUUCAAAUGCCAGUGGUUUUUGGAAGAGGUGCAGAAAACAAAGGUCUAAUGAGUUGCCAACAUCAUCAAGGACCAGAGACAGCAUGGGGUACUGUUUACUUCUGAGAGGAAGGAAUGAAAAAGUGGCCUCUUGCCCUCUGCCAUGAUUGUGAGAUCUUCCCCGGUCGCAUGGAACUGUACUCUGGGGCUAAUAUUAGCUGAGAGCCAAUUUUUAUGUCCAAUUCAACUGGAGUUUCCUCACCAUGCUGGUAAAAUAAAAUCAGAGUCUAAAUAAGACUUCUCUUUUUAACAGACGUCCUAGCCAAAGAAUUUUUGUCAUUUCUCUGUGUCAGUGAGAAGAAUCUUAAAAUGUCAGCCUUUAGCUAUUAACAGGUAUAUAAUAUCUGCUCUUCAUCUUCCUCCAAACCAGGACUGUUGUAGCACUGGUUCAUGAACUCAUUAUCUACUGACUGCUUUUUUUUUUUUUUUUUUCGGCAUCUAGUAAUUUUCCUUUGUUACUUACUGACCACAUAAUAAAUGUUUAAAAGAAAUUGUUGUAUUUGUCUUAUUGUGUUGCAGGGAUUACAAUAGAGUUGCUGUACU